GGAUGAACGCUGGCGGCGUGCCUAAUCCAUGCAAGUCGAGCGAACAGAUGAGGAGCUUGCUCCUCUGACGUUAGCGGCGGACGGGUGAGUAACACGUGGAUAACCUACCUAUAAGACUGGGAUAACUUCGGGAAACCGGAGCUAAUACCGGAUAAUAUAUUGAACCGCAUGGUUCAAUAGUGAAAGACGGUUUUGCUGUCACUUAUAGAUGGAUCCGCGCCGCAUUAGCUAGUUGGUAAGGUAACGGCUUACCAAGGCAACGAUGCGUAGCCGACCUGAGAGGGUGAUCGGCCACACUGGAACUGAGACACGGUCCAGACUCCUACGGGAGGCAGCAGUAGGGAAUCUUCCGCAAUGGGCGAAAGCCUGACGGAGCAACGCCGCGUGAGUGAUGAAGGUCUUCGGAUCGUAAAACUCUGUUAUUAGGGAAGAACAAAUGUGUAAGUAACUAUGCACGUCUUGACGGUACCUAAUCAGAAAGCCACGGCUAACUACGUG
rnacentral:rRNA from 1 species